rnacentral:rRNA from 1 species
AUUGAACGCUGGCGGCAUGCCUUACACAUGCAAGUCGAACGCGAAAGGGGGCAACCCUGAGUAGAGUGGCGAACGGGUGAGUAAUGCAUCGGAACGUGUCCUGUAGCGGGGGACAACCCCGAGAAAUCGGGGCUAAUACCGCAUACGUCCUACGGGAGAAAGUGGGGACCGCAAGGCCUCACACUAUAGGGGCGGCCGAUGCCGGAUUAGCUAGUUGGGGGGGUAAGAGCCCACCAAGGCGACGAUCCGUAGCUGGUCUGAGAGGAUGAUCAGCCGCACUGGGACUGAGACACGGCCCAGACUCCUACGGGAGGCAGCAGUGGGGAAUUUUGGACAAUGGGCGCAAGCCUGAUCCAGCCAUGCCGCGUGAGUGAAGAAGGCCUUCGGGUUGUAAAGCUCUUUCGGCCGGGACGAAAUCGCUCUCGCUAAUAUCGGGAGUGGAUGACGGUACCGGAAUAAGAAGCACCGGCUAACUACGUGCCAGCAGCCGCGGUAA